rnacentral:lncRNA from 1 species
UCCAGGAGAACAGAAAGAAAUGCCUGGGUCCAGUCCAGCUUUGGUGAGUUCUUGGAUAGGACCUUCAUGCCUACAAAGGAAAAGGUGAAACCUGAAGAUACAGCUCCAAGUGACAAGGCUUGCUCUGAGGCUAUGAUAGCUGAUGAAGAAUUAUGUUCCUCUUAAGGCAAUAAGAAAAGAACGGAAGAAGAAUGAAGACUCAGAUACUCACAAAAGACUACCGCUUGCUUUCUUCCUGCUUCAUUCUGAAUAUUGUCCAAAGAUCAUGAUUGAAUCCCAGGACUUGUCCACUGGGAAUGUAGCAAGGAAAUUGGGUGAGAUGUGGUCUGAGCAGACAGCCCAAGAUAGACCACCAUGUGAAGAGAAGGCAGCUGAACAAAAGGAAGUAUGAGCUACGGGAUAUUGCAUACCUUGAGUGUGCAGAGGUGAUGAAAGAUAGAAGGGCCCUGGUGGGCCAGGAGGCUCAAAGAAGAAUGAAUAGAUGAAGAAGAUGAGGAAGAGGAAAAGGAGGAGGAGAAGUUGGAGGAGGAAGAAGAGAAGGAUGAUGUAGAAGAAG